rnacentral:rRNA from 1 species
AGGACGAACGCUGGCGGCGUGCUUAACACAUGCAAGUCACGGGGGCCCGCAAGGGUAACCGGCGAACGGGUGCGUAACACGUGAGCAACCUACCGAGAUCUGGGGGAUAGCCGGCCCAACGGCCGGGUAAUACCGCAUACGCUCUUUCCACGGCAUUGUGGAUUGAGGAAACCUCCGGGGGAUUUCGAGGGGCUCGCGGCCUAUCAGCUAGUUGGCGAGGUCACGGCUCACCAAGGCGACGACGGGUAGCUGGUCUGAGAGGAUGGCCAGCCACAUUGGGACUGAGAAACGGCCCAGACUCCUACGGGAGGCAGCAGUGGGGAAUCUUGCGCAAUGGCCGAAAGGCUGACGCAGCGACGCCGCGUGUGGGAGGAAGCCUUUCGGGGUGUAAACCACUGUUGCCCGGGGACGAAACAGCUCCUUAGUGGAGCCUGACGGUACCGGGUGAGGAAGCGACCGGCUAACUCCGUGCCAGCAGCCGC